rnacentral:tRNA from 1 species
ACUUGAGUAGCUUAGAUUUUAAAGCUUAACUCUGAAGAAGUUAUUAUAAGUACAUACUUCUCAAGUA